rnacentral:rRNA from 1 species
AGAGCGAACGCUGGCGGCAGGCCUAACACAUGUAAGUCGAGCGCCCGUAGCAAUACGGGAGCGGCAGACGGGAUAGUAACACGUGGGAACGCGCCCUUCGGUUCGGAAUAACUCAGGGAAACUUGAGCUAAUACCGGAUACGCCCUUACGGGGAAAGAUUUAUUGCCGAAGGAACGGCCCGCGUCCGAUUAGCUAGUUGGUGAGGUAAUGGCUCACCAAGGCGACGAUCGGUAGCUGGUCUGAGAGGAUGACCAGCAUCACUGGGACUGAGACACGGCCCAGACUCCUACGGGAGGCAGCAGUGGGGAAUAUGGACAAUGGGCGCAAGCCUGAUCCAGCCAUGCCGCGUGGAUGAUGAAGGCCUUAGGGUUGUAAAGUCCUUUUAACGGGGAAGAUAAUGACGGUACCCGUAGAAUAAGCCCCGGCUAACUUCGUGCCAGCAGCCGC